UUCUACUUCACAAAGCAACACACAAAAUGCUGGAGGAACUCAGGUCAGGCAGCAUCUAUGGAAAUGAAUAACCAAUCGACGUUUCAGGCUGAUACCCUUCUUCAAGACAGGAAAGGGUUCAAAACAAUUGAUAUUAGUUAUACACUCCGAACGCCAGGAAAAGCAUGAUCUUCCGGUGGCCACCCAUUUCAAUUCUACUUCCCAGUCUGAUUCGCCUAUGCAUGGCCUCCUCUACUGCUGCAAUGAGGCCCACUCAAGCUGGAGGAGCAACAAAUCUUAUAUGCCGUCUGGGUAGUCUCCAACCUGAUGGGAUGAACAUCGAUCUCUCGAACUUCCGUCCUGAUAAAAGGUCUUGGCCCAAAACGUCGACUAUUUACUCUUUUCCAUAGACACUGCCUGACUUGCUGAAUUCCUCCAGCACUUUGUGUGUGUUACUGGCCCUUUCUGUAUACCGGUCCUUGAUAACAGGGUUCUUUUGAAGAUCCUGACCUGGAGUUACAUGCAGACUUUGGUUCUUAGUGCAAAUGGGACCCGCUUUCGGGGUUUUGUAACCGGCCGUUGUUGUUUGGCAUGCAAAGGGCUUGGAUAAGCCGAGGAUCUUGGGGCUCUGGAGGGGGCAGAUCAAGGGUCGGUGUAACGGCAGGAGACCUGUGUGUCAUCGAAGGAGUCAGAAUAUCUACGGCUGUGUGCCCAGAGAUCCUUGAUUUAUGAGGUCUUCAGGCACAAAGCUUGAAAAAAGCGACGCAACAGACUUAACAUCGUGAAACCAGCGAGUUGUUUGUUAUGUCUCGCUGCUCGCUGGGAAAACAGAGAUAACUCUUUCUCCCUUAUCGGGGAAAGAGAGAGCCUGUGGUAUGUCGUAUACCAGGUGAAACACGAAGUCUUUGGGGUAACUGCAAGCCUGUGUCUUUGCUGUUGCUUUGCUCACGCUUGAGUGCUCAGUGGCAGUUGCCAAUGCUUUUUUUUGGCCAGUGGGGUUGGGGGGAUUGUUGCUUGCUACCGCUUACGUGGAGGAGGGAGGGGACCUGGGGGGGGGGACUUUGGGGUUCUAACACUUAACUGUCGUUCAUUCUUUUUUUUCGUUCAUUCUCCUGUUUUUGUUGAUGGUUGUGAAGAAAAAACAUUUCAGGAUGUGUAUUCACGAGGAAAUCUGCAGAUGCUGGAAAUUCAAGCAACACACACAAAAUGCUGGUGGAAUGCAGCAGGCCAGACAGCAUCUAUAGGGAGAAGCGCUGUCGACGUUUCGGGCCGAGACCCUUCGUCAGGACUAACUGAAAGGAAAGAUAGUAAGAGAUUUGAAAGUAGGAGGGGGAGGGGAAAAUGCGAAAUGAUAGGAGAAGACCGGAGGGGGUGGGGUGAAGCUGAGAGCCGGAAAGGUGAUUGGCAAAAAGGAUACAGAGCUAGAGAAGGGAAAGGAUCAUGGGAUGGGAGGCCUAGGGAGAAAGAAAGGGGGAGGGGAGCACCAGAGGGAGAUGGAGAACAGGCAGAUUGAUGGGCAGAGAGAGAAAAAAAACUAAAUAUAUCAGGGAAGGGGUAAGAAGGGGAGGGGCAUUAACGGAAGUUAGAGAAGUCGAUGCUCAGGUUGGAGGCUACCCAGCCGGUAUAUAAGGUGUUGUUCCUCCAACCUGAGUGUGGCUUCAUCUUGACAGUAGAGGAGGCCAUGGAUAGACAUAUCAGAAUGGGAAUGGGACGUGGAAUUAAAAUGUGGCACCACUGGGAGAUCCUGCUUUCUCUGGCGGACAGAGUGUAGGUGUUCAGUGAAACGGUCUCCUGGUCUGCGUCGGGUCUAGCCGAAUUAGUUCUUACUCUCAAUAAUUUCUCCUUUGGCUCCUCCCACUUCCUCCAAACCAAAGGUGUAGCCAUGGGCACCCGCAUGGGUCCCAGUUAUGCCUGCCUUUUUGUUGGCUUUGUGGAAUAGUCCAUGUUCUAAGUCUAUACGGGUAUCCAUCCCCCUCUUUUCCUUCUCUACAUCAACGACUGCAUUGGAGCUGCCACCUGCACACAUGCUGAGCUCGUUGACUUCAUUAACUUCGCCUCCAACUUUCACCCCGCCCUCAAAUUUACCUGGUCUAUUUCUGACACCUCCCUCCCCUUUCUUGAUCUUUCUGUUUCCAUCUCUGAAGACGGCCUAUCUACUGAUAUCUACUAUAAGCCUUCAGAUUCUCACAGCUACAUGGACUAUUCCUCUUUCUACCCUGUCUCUUGCAAAAAUGCUAUCCCCUUCUCACAAUUCCUCUAUCUCCGCUGCAUCUGCUCUCAGGAUGAGGCUUUUCAUUCAGGGACGAAGGACAUGUCUUCCUUUUUUAAACAAAAGGGCUUCCCUUCUUCCACCAUCAACUCUGCUCUCAAAUGCCUCUCUCCCAUUUCCCGCACAUCUGCCCUCACCCCAUCCGCCCACCACCCCUCUCGGGAUAGGGUUCCCCUUGUCCUCACCUACCACCCCACCAGCCUCCAGGUCCAACGUAUAAUUCUCUGUAACUUCUGCCACCUCCUCCAACAGGAUCCCACUCCCAAGCACAUCUUUCCCUCCCCCCCUCUGCUUUCCGCAGUGAUCACUCCCUACGCGACUCCCUUGUCCAUUCAUCCCCCCCCAUCCCUUCCCACCGACUUCCCUCCUGGCACUUAUCCUUGCAAGCGGAACAAGUGCCACACCUGCCCUUACACUUCCUCCCUCACCACCAUUCAGGGCCCCAGACAGUUCUUCCAGGUGAGGCGACACUUUACCUGUGAGUCAGCUGGUAUGGUAUUCUGCGUCCGGUGCUCCCGGUGUUGUCAGGAUGUGUAUUGUAUACAUUUCUCUGACAUUAAAUUGGACUUUUGAACCUUUGAACUCCCACUGCUGCAGAUGUAGGGUCCCAUCUACUUUUAAACCAGUGCCCAAGAGCAGGGUGAGCUGCCUCAACAACUAUCGCCCAGUGUUCUGAAGU